rfam:Mercadeo virus isolate ER-M10, complete genome
CCCCCGAAACGUGAUUUAUAUGAUGACAAGAAUCAGAUGGAAGAUCCCCACCGUUAGGGGAUCCAUCCAGCAUUCUUGGAAUCAU